AUGGAAGCCGCGUCCUUGCCGCUCGCCACCUCCCGCUUCCUCUCCCCGCCAGCGGCUGCGGCGUCCUGCUCCCGCACGAGGAGCCUCCCUUUCGUCCGCGCCGCCAAUCAGGCACUGGAAGCACGUAAAGUCCCCAAAGCCCAGCGGCCGUCACCCCGGCGCAACGCCGUCGCUGAGGUCAAGGCCGCCCCCGACCCCGUCGCUGCCCUAACCAGGCUCGAAGAUGUGUUGCAGACACAGGACUGCAACAUAAUCUUGCGCCACUAUGGAGAAAUCAGGCGAUGGGAUGUGCUUUCUAAGGUCUUCGGGUGGAUGCAGGAGCAUGACAUGCUCAACAUUGCGUCUUACAGCAGCUAUUUCAAGUACCUGGGGUUGAGCCGUAAUGCUGCGAAAGCUCUGCAAGUGUACGGUUCCAUUCAGGACCAGUCGACCAGAGUCAAUGUUUCUGUUUGUAAUUCUCUUCUCGGGUGCUUGGUGAAGAACGGGAGAUCCGACAGCACCUUCAAGCUUUAUGAUGAGAUGAUACGAGGAGGUCUAUCACCUGAUCUCUUCACCUACAGUACUCUGCUGUCAGGGUGCAUGAAGUUGAAGCACGGGUACGCUAAGGCAAUGGAGUUGAUCAAUGAGCUCAACUCACGCGGUCUUCAGAUGGAUAGUGUAAUAUAUGGUACCCUCUUGGCAAUAUGUGCAUCUCAUAACUACUGUGAGGAAGCUGAGGCAUACUUCAAGAAAUUGAAGGAUAAAGGCCAUAAUCCUAAUCUGUUUCACUACAGUUCCCUGUUGAACGCGUAUUCAGUAAAUUCUUAUUAUGAAAAAGCUGAGCUGUUGAUGAAAGAUUUGAGGUCUUCUGGUUUAACACCAAAUAAGGUUAUACUGACCACUUUGUUGAAGGUAUAUUCUAAAGGUGGUCUGUUUGAGAAGGCUAAGGAGUUGCUAACUGAAUUGGAAGCCUCAGGCUUUGCACAGGAUGAGAUGGCAUAUUGCAUAUUGAUUGAUGCACUUGCCAAAGGAGGAAAGAUAUGGGAAGCAACAAUGGUGUUCAAUGAAAUGAAAGAAAAAGGUGUCAAGUCUGAUGGCUAUGCAUUUAGUAUCAUGAUUUCAGCAUUACAUCGAAGUGGUUAUCGUGAAGAAGCAAAAAAUCUUGCAAAAGAAUUUGAGGAUCAGAAUGCCACAUAUGAUCUUGUUAUGCUUAACACAUCACUUCGUGCUUACUGCAAUACAUAUGAUACGGAAAGUGUAAUGAGAAUGCUGAAGAAAAUGGAUGAGUUGAAUAUAUCACCUGAUGAUAUCACGUUUAAUACCUUAAUAAGGUACUUCUGCAAGGCAAAGGUCUAUCACCUAGCAUACAAGACGAUUGUAGAUAUGCAUACGAAAGGCCAUCAACUGAAUGAGGAGCUUUGUUCUGAGGUAAUGGUGCAGCUAGGAGAAGCAGGUUUUCCUUCUGAAGCGUUUUCUGUGUAUAAUAUGAUGAGAUAUAGUAAGAGAACAGUUUGUAAAUCUCUUCACGAGAAGGUUUUAGGCAUCUUAGUUCCAGCAGGACUUCUGAAGGAUGCCUAUAUAGUUAUUAAGGACAAUGGAGAGUCGAUAUCUCCACGCUCUUUGGAGAAAUUUGCUACACAAUUCAUGAUCUCUGGCAACAUAAAUUUGAUUAACGAUGUUAUGAAAGCCCUAAACCAUUCAGGAUGGCGUAUAAGCCAGGAAACCUUUGGUAGAGCAAUUCAGCGAUACAUCCAGAAGCCCGAUAAGAAGCAACUAUUGUUAUGCCUCUUGGACUGGAUGACUGGUCAAGGCUAUUCCGUGGACUCAUCAUCAAGGAACUUGGUUUUGAAAAAUGCACAACUCUUUGGCCAAAAACAACUGAUAGCAGAAAUCCUUUCAAAGCAGCAAGCAGCUUCAAGGAUAACAAAUAAGCUCAUUGAUUAA
rnacentral:rRNA from 1 species